CCUUCAGCACCACCCAGCUAUGCAGAAGUGGUAACAGAGGAACAAAGGCGGAACAAUCUUGUACCAGUGAGUGCUUGUGAUGACUUUGAGAGAGCCCUUCAAGGACCACUGUUUGCAUAUAUCCAGGAGUUUCGAUUCUUGCCUCCACCUCUUUAUUCAGAGAUUGAUCCAAAUCCUGAUCAGUCAGCAGAUGAUAGACCAUCCUGCCCCUCUCGUUGAAGGAACACUUGGUUGAAUCAAGUUGAUGUGGGUUCCGAACUGUAUCUCUUCCGGCUGAGGACAGAGAAGUAUCUUGGAGACACGUUUCAGAGGAAGUGGAAUUGCUUUUGCCCAGAAAAAUGGCAAAUGCAUGAAACAACCAGUGAUCAUGCUUUAGAAGCCUACAGCAACAUUCUGGGACUGCUCCAACAUGCUUGAAGAUCUAAGCUUUUCUCUUUUAAAACUGGCACAUACUCAGAGCAGUCUUCUUAGCCUAUGGUCGUACGUGUCAAGACAUCACGUUGUAAAGAGGGAUGAUUUCCUUCUUUUGAUUUGAAAAUUUGCACAUGCUCAAUGCUUACAUUGUGCGGUUCGAUGUCACUACAGCUUCUUUUUUUUUUUUUUUUUUUUCUAUUUUUGCCAGACUCUUGAUACUCUUAAAACUUGUUUGUGGUCAGCACAACAAGGAACAAAACAAAGCUUUGAAAAAACUUUAACAUGAAAAAACGCACUGACAUUUUUUUUUUAUUUAAUAUAGCCUGGACUUUACCUGCGUAUGCACAUGCUCAGAAUUGUCUACUAGGCUGACCAUGUAUCACCUCUUCAGCUUGGAUCCAAUUGUG
rnacentral:sRNA from 1 species